GCCGGGUGCGGUGGCAUGUGCCUGUAAUCCAAGUCACUGGGAGGCUGAGGUUGGUGGAUCAAGUGAGCUGAGGAGCUCUGGGCUGCAGCACGCUAUGUCGAACGGGUGUCCACGCCAAGUUCGGUAUCGAUAUGGUGUUCCUGGGGGAGCCCGGGACCACCAGGUUGUCUAAGGAGGGGUGAACCGGCCCAGGUCGGAAACGAAGCAGGUCAAAACCCCCGUGCUGUCCAGUAGUGGGAUAAUACCUGUGAGUAGAUGCUGCAGUGCAGCCUUGGCAAAACAUCGAGACCUAAUCUUUC
ensembl:misc_RNA Metazoa_SRP Metazoan signal recognition particle RNA